GCAAACUGAAGAUGGCGACCGGCGCACGGGUGAGUAACACGUAUCCAACCUGCCGAUAACUCCGGGAUAGCCUUUCGAAAGAAAGAUUAAUACCGGAUAGCAUACGAAUAUCGCAUGAUAUUUUUAUUAAAGAAUUUCGGUUAUCGAUGGGGAUGCGUUCCAUUAGUUUGUUGGCGGGGUAACGGCCCACCAAGACAACGAUGGAUAGGGGUUCUGAGAGGAAGGUCCCCCACAUUGGAACUGAGACACGGUCCAAACUCCUACGGGAGGCAGCAGUGAGGAAUAUUGGUCAAUGGGCGAGAGCCUGAACCAGCCAAGUAGCGUGAAGGAUGACUGCCCUAUGGGUUGUAAACUUCUUUUAUAAAGGAAUAAAGUCGGGUAUGCAUACCCGUUUGCAUGUACUUUAUGAAUAAGGAUCGGCUAACUCCGUGCCAGCAGCCGCGGUAAUACGGAGGAUCCGAGCGUUAUCCGGAUUUAUUGGGUUUAAAGGGAGCGUAGAU
rnacentral:rRNA from 1 species